GGGUUGUGAGGUUAAGCGACUAAGCGUACACGGUGGAUGCCCUGGCAGUCAGAGGCGAUGAAGGNNUCGUCACACUAUCAUUAACUGAAUCCAUAGGUUAAUGAGGCGAACCGGGGGAACUGAAACAUCUAAGUACCCCGAGGAAAAGAAAUCAACCGAGAUUCCCCCAGUAGCGGCGAGCGAACGGGGAGGAGCCCAGAGCCUGAAUCAGCAUGUGUGUUAGUGGAAGCGUCUGGAAAGGCGCGCGAUACAGGGUGACAGCCCCGUACACAAAAGCGCAUGUGCUGUGAGCUCGAUGAGUAGGGCGGGACACGUGGUAUCCUGUCUGAAUAUGGGGGGACCAUCCUCCAAGGCUAAAUACUCCUGACUGACCGAUAGUGAACCAGUACCGUGAGGGAAAGGCGAAAAGAACCCCGGCGAGGGGAGUGAAAAAGAACCUGAAACCGUGUACGUACAAGCAGUGGGAGCNNGUGACUGCGUACCUUUUGUAUAAUGGGUCAGCGACUUAUAUUCUGUAGCAAGGUUAACCGAAUAGGGGAGCCGGAGGGAAACCGAGUCUUAAUUGGGCGUUAAGUUGCAGGGUAUAGACCCGAAACCCGGUGAUCUAGCCAUGGGCAGGUUGAAGGUUGGGUAACACUAACUGGAGGACCGAACCGACUAAUGUUGAAAAAUUAGCGGAUGACCUGUGGCUGGGGGUGAAAGGCCAAUCAAACCGGGAGAUAGCUGGUUCUCCCCGAAAGCUAUUUAGGUAGCGCCUCGUGAAUUCAUCUCCGGGGGUAGAGCACUGUUUCGGCUAGGGGGCCAUCCCGGCUUACCAACCCGAUGCAAACUGCGAAUACCGGAGAAUGUUAUCACGGGAGACACACGGCGGGUGCUAACGUCCGUCGUGAAGAGGGAAACAACCCAGACCGCCAGCUAAGGUCCCAAAGUCAUGGUUAAGUGGGAAACGAUGUGGGAAGGCCCAGACAGCCAGGAUGUUGGCUUAGAAGCAGCCAUCAUUUAAAGAAAGCGUAAUAGCUCACUGGUCGAGUCGGCCUGCGCGGAAGAUGUAACGGGGCUAAACCAUGCACCGAAGCUGCGGCAGCGANNGUUGGGUAGGGGAGCGUUCUGUAAGCCUGCGAAGGUGUGUCGUGAGGCAUGCUGGAGGUAUCAGAAGUGCGAAUGCUGACAUAAGUAACGAUAAAGCGGGUGAAAAGCCCGCUCGCCGGAAGACCAAGGGUUCCUGUCCAACGUUAAUCGGGGCAGGGUGAGUCGACCCCUAAGGCGAGGCCGAAAGGCGUAGUCGAUGGGAAACGGGUUAAUAUUCCCGUACUUGGUGUUACUGCGAAGGGGGGACGGAGAAGGCUAUGUUGGCCGGGCGACGGUUGUCCCGGUUUAAGCGUGUAGGUGUGUGUUCCAGGUAAAUCCGGUUCACUUUAACACUGAGGCGUGAUGACGAGGCACUACGGUGCUGAAGCAACAAAUGCCCUGCUUCCAGGAAAAGCCUCUAAGCAUCAGGUAACAUCAAAUCGUACCCCAAACCGACACAGGUGGUCAGGUAGAGAAUACCAAGGCGCUUGAGAGAACUCGGGUGAAGGAACUAGGCAAAAUGGUGCCGUAACUUCGGGAGAAGGCACGCUGACACGUAGGUGAAGUGAUUUACUCAUGGAGCUGAAGUCAGUCGAAGAUACCAGCUGGCUGCAACUGUUUAUUAAAAACACAGCACUGUGCAAACACGAAAGUGGACGUAUACGGUGUGACGCCUGCCCGGUGCCGGAAGGUUAAUUGAUGGGGUCAGCGCAAGCGAAGCUCCUGAUCGAAGCCCCGGUAAACGGCGGCCGUAACUAUAACGGUCCUAAGGUAGCGAAAUUCCUUGUCGGGUAAGUUCCGACCUGCACGAAUGGCGUAAUGAUGGCCAGGCUGUCUCCACCCGAGACUCAGUGAAAUUGAACUCGCUGUGAAGAUGCAGUGUACCCGCGGCAAGACGGAAAGACCCCGUGAACCUUUACUAUAGCUUGACACUGAACAUUGAGCCUUGAUGUGUAGGAUAGGUGGGAGGCUUUGAAGCGUGGACGCCAGUCUGCGUGGAGCCGACCUUGAAAUACCACCCUUUAAUGUUUGAUGUUCUAACGUGGACCCGUAAUCCGGGUUGCGGACAGUGUCUGGUGGGUAGUUUGACUGGGGCGGUCUCCUCCUAAAGAGUAACGGAGGAGCACGAAGGUUGGCUAAUCCUGGUCGGACAUCAGGAGGUUAGUGCAAUGGCAUAAGCCAGCUUGACUGCGAGCGUGACGGCGCGAGCAGGUGCGAAAGCAGGUCAUAGUGAUCCGGUGGUUCUGAAUGGAAGGGCCAUCGCUCAACGGAUAAAAGGUACUCCGGGGAUAACAGGCUGAUACCGCCCAAGAGUUCAUAUCGACGGCGGUGUUUGGCACCUCGAUGUCGGCUCAUCACAUCCUGGGGCUGAAGUAGGUCCCAAGGGUAUGGCUGUUCGCCAUUUAAAGUGGUACGCGAGCUGGGUUUAGAACGUCGUGAGACAGUUCGGUCCCUAUCUGCCGUGGGCGCUGGAGAACUGAGGGGGGCUGCUCCUAGUACGAGAGGACCGGAGUGGACGCAUCACUGGUGUUCGGGUUGUCAUGCCAAUGGCACUGCCCGGUAGCUAAAUGCGGAAGAGAUAAGUGCUGAAAGCAUCUAAGCACGAAACUUGCCCCGAGAUGAGUUCUCCCUGAGACUUAGAGUCUCCUGAAGGAACGUUGAAGA
rnacentral:rRNA from 1 species